UGAGGAAUAUUGGUCAAUGGACGCAAGUCUGAACCAGCCAUGCCGCGUGCAGGAAGACGGCUCUAUGAGUUGUAAACUGCUUUUGUACAAGGGUAAACCUCGGUACGUGUACCGAGCUGAAAGUACUGUACGAAUAAGGAUCGGCUAACUCCGUGCCAGCAGCCGCGGUAAUACGGAGGAUCCAAGCGUUAUCCGGAUUUAUUGGGUUUAAAGGGUGCGUAGGCGGUUUGAUAAGUUAGAGGUGAAAGCUCGGGGCUCAACUCCGGAACUGCCUCUAAUACUGUUGAACUAGAGAGUAGAUGCGGUAGGCGGAAUGUAUGGUGUAGCGGUGAAAUGCGUAGAGAUCAUACAGAACACCGAUUGCGAAGGCAGCUUACCAAACUAUAUCUGACGUUGAGGCACGAAAGCGUGGGUAGCAAACAGG
rnacentral:rRNA from 2 species